GGUGGCUCAGUGGUAGAGCGCUUGCCUUGAAUGCAUGAGGCCCUGGGUUUGAUGAGGCCCUGGGUUCGAUUCCUCAGCACCA
rnacentral:tRNA from 1 species